AGAUAUGUUUAAUUGUGAAUCAAUCCAAAAUCCACUGUAAAAUGUUUGUUGUUUAUGUAUGCGUAAUAUGUGACUAAUUGUUAUUCUUAGAGCAAGGGGAAAAAGAAGUAUAAACGUCAUCAAAGGUCAGUUCAGGACAUGUUUGCAGAAGCAGAGGUAACUGCAACUGAAGGUGUCUUAAUCAUUCAAAAAUGGUGAAGGAAGGUCAUUGGAAGGUUGAUUGAGCUGUGGUCAACAACAGUAUAUACCCAGCUACCAAGGGAUGCUAUGGAACAAGGAAAAGCGUGUUGAAGAACACCUUUAAAAUACUUCCUAAAGCCACGCACACCAGUUGUUUCGUCAAGAAGUAGGCUAAAUUAGCCUGCACUGAAGUUUGUGCUGCUACAGCAGACGUACCUUGUAUGGAUAAUAUUCUGUUUUAAGUGAUGUCUUCAGCACCCUUCCUAUCAAGGCAGUCCCCCAUCUCCGCAUGCCUUCCUUUACCAUAUUGGUCAGAUUAGUUGCUCCCAUGCAUGCAACGCAUACAGAACUAGACUACGGCGUUCGGUUCCUGCAAGGGCCCAGUUCCUUCCAUGCCUUCUGGAGAGCUCAGGGUGUUACGGUACUGCUAUACGUUGCCAAAGGAACUGCUUGGAUCCUCUUCCUGUGAGUUCCUUCUCCUCAACAAAGUCAGGUGGUGAGUCUAAGGUUCAAAAUGGAAGGACUGAUGCAACAUUACUUAAGCCUCUUUGCUCAAAAGAAAAGGAAGGAGUGCGUUCUCACAGGCGUUGUGGCUGACAGACGUACGGCAGUCGAACAGCAGUGUGCGUACCCUCCGUGGCAGCUGAAUCAGUCGGAGGAGCCAGCAGAAUUCCAGAGCUCGCGUCCAGCUCCAGCCAGUCCUCCUGGGCAGGUGUGCUGAGCGCCUGGCUUCCAGUUCCUCUGCAAGCAUACACAGGAUUUGAGGUAAUCCAGCCUGGCACUAAAACUUCCAGUGCAGAACUUACCGUCCUGGCCAAAAGUAUCUGAAGACAUGAGAGGUUUGGAGCUGGAGGUGUAUCUUAGCUGGCGAGUCUGAAACCGGGAAUCUCAGAGAUUCCUCUGAGGGAGGAUUUGCAGUUAACGGAUGCAAUUAGCUGGGGGUAAGAGGAAGGGAUUUCAGUUUGGCAGAUGAGAACUGGGAAGGGAGAAGUAAGCAUGGUAUAUGCAUUUGUAUGCACCACGACAAAAGUGGCUGCCACUAUUGCCAGUGAUGGUUCUUGGCUAC